CACGUAGGGCGCAAGCGUUGUCCGGAAUUAUUGGGCGUAAAGAGCUCGUAGGCGGUCUGUUGCGUCCGCUGUGAAAACUCGGGGCUUAACCCCGAGCCUGCAGUGGAUACGGGCAGACUAGAGGUAGGUAGGGGAGAAUGGAAUUCCGGGUGUAGCGGUGAAAUGCGCAGAUAUCAGGAGGAACACCGGUGGCGAAGGCGGAUCUCUGGGCCAUUACUGACGCUGAGGAGCGAAAGCGUGGGGAGCGAACAGG
rnacentral:rRNA from 1 species